rnacentral:rRNA from 2 species
CUGGAGGUAUCAGAAGUGCGAAUGCUGACAUAAGUAACGAUAAAGCGGGUGAAAAGCCCGCUCGCCGGAAGACCAAGGGUUCCUGUCCAACGUUAAUCGGGGCAGGGUGAGUCGACCCCUAAGGCGAGGCCGAAAGGCGUAGUCGAUGGGAAACGGGUUAAUAUUCCCGUACUUGGUGUUACUGCGAAGGGGGGACGGAGAAGGCUAUGUUGGCCGGGCGACGGUUGUCCCGGUUUAAGCGUGUAGGUGUGUGUUCCAGGUAAAUCCGGUUCACUUUAACACUGAGGCGUGACGACGAGGCACUACGGUGCUGAAGCAACAAAUGCCCUGCUUCCAGGAAAAGCCUCUAAGCAUCAGGUAACAUCAAAUCGUACCCCAAACCGACACAGGUGGUCAGGUAGAGAAUACCAAGGCGCUUGAGAGAACUCGGGUGAAGGAACUAGGCAAAAUGGUGCCGUAACUUCGGGAGAAGGCACGCUGACACGUAGGUGAAGUGA